GCAGCAGGGCGUGCUGCAAGCUCUUUCCAUUUCUUAUAAAUGCCUCUGUUAGAAAAAGGAAGCUUGGAUGAAGCACAUGCAGGGGAAUAAAUAAUGUCAGCAAUGUUGAAAGCCUGCCCAGAUGGCAUGAUGUAAUAGCAGUGAGCGCUCUGAUCCACAGGCUACAAUAAAUAUAUCCUGGGAUGGGCCACUUACAGCUUCCUGGAAUUGGAAGGACCCAUCUUGGGACCCCAGAUCAACACAGCUGUCCCCACUGAGGGCACGGUGUGGGAGGACAUAGAGCUUUGCUGAAGUGUUUGCCAAGGAAAACCCUGGGAGCUGCAGGCACCUGGCAGCUGUGGGGAGUUUGCCUGAUGAGGGUGCAGCCCUGCAGCAGCCUGAGCCUCCUGGUAAAGUGGGGCCAUGCUGACCCAUGGUGUCCC